rnacentral:rRNA from 1 species
UAGGGAAUCUUCCACAAUGGACGCAACUCUGAUGGAGCAACGCCGCGUGAGUGAAGAAGGUUUUCGGAUCGUAAAGCUCUGUUGUUGGUGAAGAAGGAUAGAGGUAGUAACUGGCCUUUAUUUGACGGUAAUCAACCAGAAAGUCACGGCUAACUACGUGCCAGCAGCCGCGGUAAUACGUAGGUGGCAAGCGUUGUCCGGAUUUAUUGGGCGUAAAGCGAGCGCAGGCGGAAGAAUAAGUCUGAUGUGAAAGCCCUCGGCUUAACCGAGGAACUGCAUCGAAAACUGUUUUUCUUGAGUGCAGAAGAGGAGAGUGGAAUUCCAUGUGUAGCGGUGGAAUGCGUAGAUAUAUGGAAGAACACCAGUGGCGAAGGCGACUCUCUGGUCUGCAACUGACGCUGAGGCUCGAAAGCAUGGGUAGCGAACAGG